AUUGAACGCUGGCGGCAGGCCUAACACAUGCAAGUCGAGCGGAUGAAGGGAGCUUGCUCUUGGAUUCAGCGGCGGACGGGUGAGUAAUGCCUAGGAAUCUGCCUGGUAGUGGGGGAUAACGUCCGGAAACGGGCGCUAAUACCGCAUACGUCCUGAGGGAGAAAGUGGGGGAUCUUCGGACCUCACGCUAUCAGAUGAGCCUAGGUCGGAUUAGCUAGUUGGUGGGGUAAAGGCCUACCAAGGCGACGAUCCGUAACUGGUCUGAGAGGAUGAUCAGUCACACUGGAACUGAGACACGGUCCAGACUCCUACGGGAGGCAGCAGUGGGGAAUAUUGGACAAUGGGCGAAAGCCUGACGCAGCCAUGCCGCGUGUGUGAAGAAGGUCUUCGGAUUGUAAAGCACUUUAAGUUGGGAGGAAGGGCAGUAAGAUAAUACCUUGCUGUCUUGACGGUACCAACAGAGUAAGCACCGGCUAACUUCGUG
rnacentral:rRNA from 1 species